rnacentral:lncRNA from 1 species
UUAUACUUUACUUUUCUUUUUCUUCUAAGUUUAUUCAUGAAAAUCUCUAUGGUAGACUUAACUAUGAUUUGAUGUUCUGCCUUACAAAAAAAAACAGUAAAUGUUGACGAAAGAUAGCUGCACACGCAACAGAACUAUCGUUGAAUUUCUAAAAGAUGGGACGAAAUAUUUCCAGAACAAUAAUUUAUUUUUCAUAUCUAAACAAUAUCAUUAUUUAUUUGGAUCUCAGAGAAAAGGCUAUGCUUUAUAAUAUUUUCUAAAGAUGCCAACCACCCCGAUGUCUGAAGUGUCCGACUGUAUGACACGAAUGUCAUCCCUGUAUGUAGACACUAUUCCCAUGUGUUCUAGUUCCAGCAGAAUGACUUCAACAUCAACACCUCGGACUUACGCGUGAUUUGAAGAUUUUUAACUUUCUUUGGGGUAUAGCUUGGAAAAAGACUGAUGAAACUAAAAUGACUUGACUCCAGAGAAACUAUGUGAAAACCGUACUACAUGCUUCAAUGUGAUGGUCAUAGGAAGAGAGGAGAUAUAAAAACUAAAAUCUCUCUCAGCCAUACAUAGGCUCCAAGAAGUAUUGGAUGGCACCUAUGGCAAGAAGGAGUUAGAAACUUAUAAAAUGAAUUACUAUGUUCACAGUGUUUUGAUUUAAUGCUAUACUGUACAACAGUAUUUAUAGAUUUUAUCAAACAAUGUAUGUAAUAGGCAAAUGUAAACACCUGGUCUUUAUAUACAAUAUCAUAGACAGAAACAAAGAAUCAACCAGGCAAAGUUUCUACCCUGUGUUGAGUUAUCAUCAUUUCUGAAUACCCUACUCUAUUGUUCACGGAUACACAAUUUAUAAAUCCAUUAUUACCAACAGCAUAAAUAAAUUGGAUGAAUCAAUGUUCAUCUAAACACA